GGAAGUAUAAGUCGUAACAAGGUUUCCGUAGGUGAACCUGCGGAAGGAUCAUUAUUGGAUUUUGAAACUUCAGGCUGCUGCUGGCUCUCCUCGGAGGGCAUGUGCACGCUUGUUGUCCAUUAUUUCUCCCACUGUGCACAAAUUGUAGACCUUUCAGUAGGCCUAUGUUGUUUUUCACAAUCUCUGAAUGUAAUAGAAUGGUUUUGAAUCUUGGGAAAUACAAUACAACUUUCAGCAACGGAUCUCUUGGCUCUC
rnacentral:misc_RNA from 1 species